rnacentral:rRNA from 1 species
GAUGAACGCUAGCGGCAGGCUUAAUACAUGCAAGUCGAGGGGUAACAAGAUUGUAGCAAUACAAUUGUUGACGACCGGCAAACGGGUGCGGAACACGUACACAACCUUCCUACAAGUGGGGAAUAGCGCAGAGAAAUUUGGAUUAAUACCCCGUAACAUAGCGAUGUGGCAUCACAUUGCUAUUAUAGCUUCGGCGCUUGUUGAUGGGUGUGCGGCUGAUUAGAUAGUUGGCGGGGUAACGGCCCACCAAGUCUACGAUCAGUAGCUGAUGUGAGAGCAUGAUCAGCCACACGGGCACUGAGACACGGGCCCGACUCCUACGGGAGGCAGCAGUAAGGAAUAUUGGACAAUGGACGCAAGUUUGAUCCAGCCGUGCCGCGUGAAGGAUUAAGGUCCUCUGGAUUGUAAACUUCUUUUAUAAGGGACGAAAAAAGGUCUUUCUAGAUCGUCUGACGGUACCUUAUGAAUAAGCACCGGCUAACUCCGUGCCAGCCGCCGCCGUAAUAC